rnacentral:lncRNA from 1 species
AUAAUUACUUGUUUCAAUCCCAGCUUAUCAUCAAUGAAAAUGAGUGUGCCUGCUUUAUUCAGAUGCACUUCCUUGUCAGGCUGCCACAUGGAGGACCAGAGUGCAACAGGAAGAGGUGUUAUCCGUCAGUGCUGAAAUGCAUCCACAAUGCGGUGAGGGAGGUUGGGUGCGGUGGAGUGUUACAAGGUUCAAAUCAGGAGGAGGUUUAUCAGUAAGGCUGAGGGGUGGUCGCAUAUCUGUGGAUCCCUCAAGUCGGAUCACAGCUUGUUCCACUUCUCCAAACUAAGAAGAGAGCCAUGUAAUUUGAAGUUCCCAAAGACAGCAAUCAAGAAGCAAGCUGAAUUACAGAUUAAGAACUAUCCUGUGCCUUCUUUUACAGCCAUUCCAAGAAAGCAAGAAAAAUUGGUUUCCCAUAUACACGAUUGUCUGGCAGCAGUUAUUCUAGCAGAAGACAAAGUAUCAUUAAGAGUAACAUGGAUCUGAUGAGGGCUCCUUCCAGUUAUGCCUUGGCCACAGGACUGAAGUGUAAGCACAGAACCUCGCAUCUCAUGAAAGCAGCCAAAUGGAGGAAGAUAACACACCAAUUCUGAAUUCAGGUACAAGGUCCCUGCUUUGGCCAUACUGCCUCCUGCAACACAGUACAAAUAGUGGACAACAGCUUCUGAGAAGUUUAUGCAAAAGUUUCAACAAACAAAUCAUCUUAAAUCAACAAAACUAGUGCUGUAAGACUAGUUGCUUUAACGUUGCUCUUCCCUGAAGGUUUCAUAUGCCUCUCAGCUGCAGAUAUUCACUUUGCUGCAGUAUUUAGCACUAGCAAGUCUCAGACUGUGUGGGAAAUUUGCUGCAGAAUUAAGGUCCAGUAUAUUUCAAACAACAUCAAGUGGAUUACAGCUGAAAUUUUAAAUUUCCC